rnacentral:lncRNA from 13 species
AUUUAGAAAAUGUCAUAGGUAAUGUAAUCCAAUAAAAAUUUGAUAGCAGCCAUAAUUUAGCUAUGUUUGCAGAGGGCUUGCAUAGUUGUUAAUCUAUUGUUUAAUGAUCAUAAUUAGAUUUCACAAAAUAAUUGGGAUUCCUUAAUGUUGAAUUUAACUUUAGAGAACAUCACACCACCAGAGAAUGGUAGGAGGAGGUGCUGACAGUUUAAUGGUCUCCUUUGGAUAGUCACCAAUAACUCAUUAUGUUUUUCUGGGGUCCACAUAUUGGCUGGGCUGAGUCACUUAUUUUGAAACAAAAUGAAGAGAAAAUUUCUACAGUUGCUAUUUCCUGUUUUUCUAAUGCAGCUUGCUGCAUUUAUAUAAACAUGCUAGGAUUGCUGUGGUUAUUUGAAAGAAUGACCUCCUCUGACAGGGAUGUGGAUUCCAGGCAUAUGGCUGACUAUGAGAGACUGACUCAAGAUGGCAUGAUAUAGAACACUUAGUCUUGCUUUCAUCAGUGCAUGGACAUUUGAGCUGCUUCAGCCUUUUGGCUAUGAUGAACAUGCUUGGAAUGCUAUGAACAUUUGUGCACAAGUUCUUGUGUGGACAGACAUUUUAAAUUCUCUUGGUUAUGGACUUUGGAUUGGAAUUUCUGGUUUGUAUGCUAACUCCAUGUUUAACUUUUAAAAGAAACUGACAAACUGUUUUCCAAAGCAACUGAACCAUUUUACAUUCCCAUGAGAGUUCCAAUUUCUCCACAUCGUCACUAAUACUUAUUUAUUGUC